AUAGAUGCAACCCUGUUUCCUCACUCGAUUAAAGCUUAUUGACCUUGAUUGGUGCUUCCAUGGGAUCAGGCAUUCUUGCUUAUCAAGUUCUCCUUUUUCUUCACAAACAAAAGCUUCCAACUAAAGUUUGAAUCAGGAGGAAACCUUUUGAAUAGUAGAAAGACGUUGAAGAAUCAAAAUGUCAUCGAGGCCAGAGUAUAACCAGAUCUUGGUGAAGAAGCCCGAAGGCCAUGACUUCUGGUCAUAAUAGAUUUUACGAAGUGCUCAUUGUUCCCCCUUUGGCCAUCAAAGUACAAGAAUUUGAUGCUCCUCCAACCUGAAGUUUCUGCGUGUAAUAUUAAAGUUUCUUAUUGUUAUCGAGGUUCCAAACUUGUAUAUCUGUAUCUUCUAGUGUGGGAAUGGUGACGUUGUAGUUUCAGUUGUUUCUCUUAAUAUCCUGUGUCUUUGCUUCUUGAGUUGGUUUCUGAAGAAGUGUCGUGAAUCAGAGCUUUUGAGGAUAGUUAGUGGGUCUGAGAAUUGAUUAUUAGGGAGCGGAAAUACAAUCUCUUAAAUCUAUUUGGUAUUAUUGACAAUAGGACCAAUUUUGUUCAUUAUUUCUGGUAAA